rnacentral:ncRNA from 2 species
CAAAGGGAAUGAGGUUCUCCCUUGGAUUUUUAUCCUAAACCGCUUAUGAAAGCUGAUGACUUCUGCGAUU